GCUGGUUCUCCCCGAAAUAGCUUUAGGGCUAGCCUCAUAUUAGAUUACCGGAGGUAAAGCACUGAAUGGCCUAGCGCCCGAGAGGGUAGCGAAGCCUAUCAAACUAAGAAUGCCGGAGUAUUGAUGUAUGGGAGUCAGACAGUGUGAGAUAAAUCUCAUUGUCAAAAGGGAAACAGCCCAGAUCUACAGCUAAGGUCCCAAAUUGUAUCUAAGUGGAAAACGAUGUGGAAAUACGCAGACAACCAGGAUGUUGGCUCAGAAGCAGCCACUCAUUUAAAGAGUGCGUAAUAGCUCACUGGUCGAGCGUCUCUGCGCGGAAAAUUUAACGGGGCUAAGAUACAAACCGAAGCUUAGGCUGUGUACAUUGUACACGGGGUAGGGGAGCGUUGUGUAAGCGGAGAAACAGUAGCGUAAGCGGCUGUGGAGUUUACAGAAGUGAGAAUGCCGGAAUGAGUAGCGCGAAUGUGGUGAGAAUCCACAUGGCCGGAAACCUCAGGUUUUUGGAGGAAGGUUCGUCCGCUCCAAGUUAGGCGGGAGCUAAGGUCAGGCCGAAAGGCGUAGCCGAUGCACAGACGGUAGAGAUUCCGUCCCCACCGAAAGAUUUAAGCACAGGGACACUUUUUGAAGGUCGGAGCCAGGUGUUGGUUCUGGUAGUGAUCGAGGGAAAUAUAGUACCGAAGUCCGGCUGGAUAAGAGGCGAGAAAAGCUGUGUGUAUAUCUAAGGUGCCCGUACCGCAAACCGACACAGGUAGGUAGGAAGAAGAUUCUAAGGCCAACGGGAGAAGGGUUGUUAAGGAACUCGGCAAGUUGACCCCGUAACUUCGGAAUAAGGGGUGCUCACGAGAGUGAGCCGCAGAGAAUAGGCCCAGGCAACUGUUUACCAAAAACACAGGUUUGUGCUAAAUCGAAAGAUGACGUAUACGAGCUGACGCCUGCCCGGUGCUGGAAGGUUAAGAGGAGAUGUGCAAGCAUUGAAUCGAAGCCCCAGUGAACGGCGGCCGUAACUAUAACGGUCCUAAGGUAGCGAAAUUCCUUGUCAGGUAAGUUCUGACCCGCAUGAAAGGCGUAAUGAUUUGGGCACUGUCUCAACAGCCCGCCCGGCGAAAUUGUAGUACCGGUGAAGAUGCCGGUUACCCGCGACAAGACGGAAAGACCCCAUGGAGCUUUACUGUAGCCUAAUAUUGGGUUUCGAUGUUGCAUGCACAGGAUAGAUGGGACACAGGGAAACAAUCGCUUUGGCGGUUGCGGAGUGGCCGUUGGGAUACCAUCCUUGCGAUAUUGGAAUUCUAACCUGCGGCUCUGAAUCGAGUCGGGGGACAUUGUUAGGUGGGCAGUUUGACUGGGGCGGUCGCCUCCUAAAAAGUAACGGAGGCGUUCAAAGGUUCGCUCAGCUUGAACGGAAAUCAAGCAAAAGAGUGCAAACGCAGAAGCGAGCCUAACUGCGAGACUGACGGGUCGAGCAGUAACGAAAGUUGGAGUUAGUGAUCCGGUGGUAUGUGAGUGGAAAUGCCAUCGCUCAACGGAUAAAAGCUACCCUGGGGAUAACAGGCUGAUCUCCCCCAAGAGUCCACAUCGACGGGGAGGUUUGGCACCUCGAUGUCGGCUCAUCGCAUCCUGGGGCUGUAUUCGGUCCCAAGGGUUUGGCUGUUCGCCAAUUAAAGCGGUACGCGAGCUGGGUUCAGAACGUCGUGAGACAGUUCGGUCCCUAUCUGUCGUGGGCGCAGGAUAUUUGAAAGGCGCUGUCCCUAGUACGAGAGGACCGGGAUGGACGAACCUCUGGUGCACCAGUUGUCACGCCAGUGGCACAGCUGGGCAGCUAUGUUCGGAUCGGAUAAACGCUGAAAGCAUCUAAGCGUGAAGCCGGCCUUAAGAUAAGAUAUCCCACUGAGUCAAUCAGGUAAGACCCCUUGAAGACUACAAGGUUGAUAGGCACACAGUGUAAGCGGAGUGAUCCGUUCAGCUAGCGUGUACUAAUAGGUCGAGGGCUUGACCCC
rnacentral:rRNA from 1 species